rnacentral:rRNA from 1 species
UACGUAGGGGGCAAGCGUUGUCCGGAAUCAUUGGGCGUAAGAGCGUGUAGGCGGCCAGAAAAGUCCGCUGUGAAAACUCGAGGCUCAACUUCGAGCUGUCGGUGGAAACUUUCUGGCUAGAGUCCGGAAGAGGAGAAUGGAAUUCCUGGGUGUAGCGGUGAAAUGCGCAGAUAUCAGGAAGAACACCCGUGGCGAAGGCGGUUCUCUGGGACGGUACUGACGCUGAGACGCGAAAGCGUGGGGAGCGAACAGG